UUGAACGCUGGCGGCAGGCCUAACACAUGCAAGUCGAGCGGUAACAGAAAGAAAGCUUGCUUUCUUUGCUGACGAGCGGCGGACGGGUGAGUAAUGCCUGGGAAUAUGCCUUAGUGUGGGGGAUAACUAUUGGAAACGAUAGCUAAUACCGCAUAACGUCUUCGGACCAAAGAGGGGGACCUUCGGGCCUCUCGCGCUAAGAUUAGCCCAGGUGGGAUUAGCUAGUUGGUGAGGUAAAGGCUCACCAAGGCAACGAUCCCUAGCUGGUCUGAGAGGAUGAUCAGCCACACUGGAACUGAGACACGGUCCAGACUCCUACGGGAGGCAGCAGUGGGGAAUAUUGCACAAUGGGGGGAAACCCUGAUGCAGCCAUGCCGCGUGUAUGAAGAAGGCCUUCGGGUUGUAAAGUACUUUCAGUCGUGAGGAAGGGUGUGUAGUUAAUAGCUGCAUGCCUUGACGUUAGCGACAGAAGAAGCACCGGCUAACUCCGUG
rnacentral:rRNA from 1 species